rnacentral:snRNA from 1 species
GGAUGGGAGGGCAAUCUGGCUGUGACAUCUGCCACCCCAUUGAUCAGCAGGGCUGAUGCGGCUGAGCUGGCUGCCUAAACAGGUGUCCCCUCCCUUCCUUACUGCUCCAUGUGCGUCCCUCCUGAAGCUGCAUACAAGGAAGAAGAAGACGGCCUUCCCCGAAUAAAGAUGGACCGGUCUUGGGCAGAGUGUUUGUGAGUAGCUGCACUGCAGGCUAGAACCUCCAAACAAUCUCUCAAGGUCCAUUUUUAUCAUCAUUUAAAGGUUCAGGCUCAUCCGAACAACUAUAUAUUUAUGAUGAUCAGAUUC